UCAAAAGUAAUUUAUGGGGACUAAGAAUGUAAUAUUGAGGAAGCCAAAGUUCAUUCAUUGGCAUAUUUACGAAACAUCAAUUUUAUUAUGCGAUUCAGCCAUGAUAGUAUUACAAUACUCAUUUUAUGGUAACGUAAUGUUGCUUUCAUACGGGGGGCUUUAAUUGGACAUCCUGUCGAAAAUCUUAGAGUUGUCUUGACAGAUGGUGCUGCUGAUGCCGUUGAUUCUAGUGAACUUGCAUUUAAGUUGGCUUCUAUCUAUGCUUUCAGACAGUGCUAUACAGCUUCCAGGCCAUUUAUAUUAGAACCUGUUAUGCUUGUUGAGCUGAAAGUACCAACAGAAUUCCAAGGAGCUGUUGCUGGUGACAUUAACAAGUGGGGUUCUUAUUUUAUUCUAUCCUUGUUUCUCUUUUCAAAUGGUUUAUUUAUGAUAUUGGUCUAUUUAUGAUAUUUUUAUCUAUGGUAUUGGUUUAUGACAUUGGUUUAUUUUAUUC